AGCGGCAGACGGGAGAGUAACACGUGGGAACGUGCCCUUCAGUCCGGAACAACCCAGGGAAACUUGGGCUAAUACCGGAUACGUCCGUAAGGAGAAAGAUUUAUCGCUGAAGGAUCGGCCCGCGUCUGAUUAGCUAGUUGGUGAGGUAACGGCUCACCAAGGCGACGAUCAGUAGCUGGUCUGAGAGGAUGAUCAGCCUCACUGGGACUGAGACACGGCCCAGACUCCUACGGGAGGCAGCAGUGGGGAAUUUUGCGCAAUGGGGGAAACCCUGACGCAGCAACGCCGCGUGGAGGAUGAAGUCCCUUGGGACGUAAACUCCUUUCGACCGGGACGAUACUGACGGUACCGGAAGAAGAAGCACCGGCUAACUCUGUGCCAGCAGCCGCGGUAAUACGAAGGGGGCUAGCGUUGUUCGGAAUCACUGGGCGUAAAGCGCAUGUAGGCGGGUCUUUAAGUCAGGGGUGAAAUGCCAAGGCUCAACCUUGGAACUGCCCUUGAUACUGGAGACCUUGAGUCCGGGAGAGGUGAGUGGAACUGCGAGUGUAGAGGUGAAAUUCGUAGAUAUUCGCAAGAACACCAGUGGCGAAGGCGGCUCACUGGCCCGGUACUGACGCUGAUAUGCGAAAGCGUGGGGAGCAAACAGGAUUAGAUACCCUGGUAGUCCACGCCGUAAACGAUGGAUGCUAGCCGUUAGGCAGCUUGCUGCUUAGUGGCGCAGUUAACGCUUUAAGCAUCCCGCCUGGGGAGUACGGUCGCAAGAUUAAAACUCAAAGGAAUUGACGGGGACCCGCACAAGCGGUGGAGCAUGUGGUUUAAUUCGA
rnacentral:rRNA from 1 species